rnacentral:rRNA from 1 species
AUGUAUUCGUGUGUAUCUCACAGGGGGAAAAAACCCUGUGAAUUAACUUGGGCCACAGGUGUGGUUUUGGCUGUUUUGACUGCAUCAUUUGGUGUAACUGGUUAUUCUUUGCCUUGGGAUCAAAUUGGCUAUUGGGCAGUCAAAAUUAUGAUAGGUGUACCAGACGCCAUUCUGGUAAUAGGAUCGCCUUUAGUGGAGUUAUUACACGGAAGUGCUAGUGUGGGAGAAUCCAAUUUGCCUCGUUUUUAUAGUUUACAUACCUUUGUACUGCCUCUGCUUACUGCCGUAUUUAUGUUAAUGCACUUUCCAAUGAUACGUAAGCAAGGUAUUUCGGGUCCUUCAUAG